rnacentral:rRNA from 1 species
AUGCCCAAUGGGGCCCAAGCUCCGAGUGAGGAGGGUGAGGCGAGUGGGGGCGAGAGCCAGGGAGAGGAGGAAUGGGACUCGGACAUUGCAGAGGAUGAUGACGACGAUGAUGAUGACGACGGUGAUGAAAAUGACGUUGAGGACGAGGAAGAAGAGGAGGAGGAGGUCGUACCACCGCGUUCAGAAAGGCGGUCGAAGCUUGUCCACGACCCUUUGACUGAACGUGGCAAGGGGGUUGUGACCGUUGCCCAGUCGACCAAACGCCCUCGGACCACCUCUCCGGUGCCGACUGAAAAGGCGCCGAAGCAGCCCAGGGCGGCCUCGUCGAAGCCGACCAAGCUCCUGCCGAAGAUGAAGGUGUCCAUCCCCACCAUAUCAGGGUAA